rnacentral:rRNA from 1 species
GAUGAACGCUGGCGGCGUGCCUAAUACAUGCAAGUCGAGCGAACAGACGAGGAGCUUGCUCCUCUGACGUUUGCGGCGGACGGGUGAGUAACACGUGGAUAACCUACCUAUAAGACUGGGAUAACUUCGGGAAACCGGAGCUAAUACCGGAUAAUAUAUUGAACCGCAUGGUUCAAUAGUGAAAGACGGUUUUGCUGUCACUUAUAGAUGGAUCCGCGCCGCAUUAGCUAGUUGGUAAGGUAACGGCUUACCAAGGCAACGAUGCGUAGCCGACCUGAGAGGGUGAUCGGCCACACUGGAACUGAGACACGGUCCAGACUCCUACGGGAGGCAGCAGUAGGGAAUCUUCCGCAAAGGGCGAAAGCCUGACGGAGCAACGCCGCGUGGGUGAUGAAGGUCUUCGGAUCGUAAAACUCUGUUAUUAGGGAAGAACAAAUGUGUAAGUAACUAUGCACGUCUUGACGGUACCUAAUCAGAAAGCCACGGCUAACUACGUG